rnacentral:rRNA from 1 species
CUUGAACGCUGGCGGCAGGCCUAACACAUGCAAGUCGAACGGCGUGGCGAACGGGUGUGUAACACGUGGGUGUCCUACCCUUCACUUCAGGAUAAGCCUGUGAAACUCGGGCUACUACCGGAUAGUGUGGGAUGGGCUCGGGGCCUAUCAGCUUGUUGGUGAGGUAAGUGCCUACCAAGGCGGCGGCGGUUAGCCGGCCUGAGAGGGUGGACGGCCACAUUGGGACUGAGACAGGGACCAGACGCCUACGGGAGGCAGCAGUGGGGAAUAUUGUACAAUGGGCGGAAGCCUGAUGCAGCGACGCCGCGUGGGUGAUGACGGCCUUCGGGUUGUAAACUCCUUUCACCAUCGACGCGGUAGAUGGAGAAGAAGCACCGGCUAACUACGUGCCAGCAGCCGCGGUAAUUC